UACGAAGGGGGGCUAGCGUUGCUCGGAAUCACUGGGCGUAAAGCGCACGUAGGCGGAUUGUUAAGUCAGGGGUGAAAUCCUGGAGCUCAACUCCAGAACUGCCUUUGAUACUGGCGAUCUCGAGUCCGGGAGAGGUGAGUGGAACUGCGAGUGUAGAGGUGAAAUUCGUAGAUAUUCGCAAGAACACCAGUGGCGAAGGCGGCUCACUGGCCCGAUACUGACGCUGAGGCACGAAAGCGUGGGGAGCAAACAGG
rnacentral:rRNA from 1 species